rnacentral:rRNA from 1 species
UACGUAGGGGGCAAGCGUUGUCCGGAAUCAUUGGGCGUAAAGCGCGCGUAGGCGGCCCGGUAAGUCCGUUGUGAAAGUCAAAGGCUCAACCUUUGAAUGCCGACGGAUACUGCCGGGCUAGAGUACGGAAGAGGCGAGUGGAAUUCCUGGUGUAGCGGUGGAAUGCGCAGAUAUCAGGAGGAACACCUAUAGCGAAGGCAGCUCGCUGGGACGUUACUGACGCUGAGGCGCGAAAGCAUGGGGAGCGAACAGG